GUGACAUGAAAUACACAGACAGAAAAUACAAAAUAUUUUCAGUACAUACUAUUUGACUUUUUAGUUUGUUAAACUUUGAAGAAAUGUUUGUGAACACUGAACAAUCCCAAUUUAUCAAUUAAUUACUUGUAUGCAUAUAAACAUGUGGCACUCCUACAACAUCUAUUUUUGUGCCAAUAAAGUGGCCAUAUACUUUUAAUACCAGUCUUUGCUCUUCCGCUCUCUGCAACCUAAUUUUAUUUUGAUUCCUUUCUUCUCUUGCAGUUCAGUUGUUUAACAGAUUUCUGGGAUGUUAGCUUGCCUGCUGUCACUGCCAGCUUCUGACAAUAGCUGAUAAGUGGACUUCCCUCCAGCCACUCCUUUCUUCAUGCUGAGUGGUGCAAGUAAACAAAACCAACCCCAGAAUCAGAGGCUGGUGCUGCUGUGGCGGAGGGGGAGCAUACACUGCUAGUGGAGAGCUUCCACACAAAGUCCUGUCUGUACACACUGCUGCUCAGGGUGGUCUGCUAGGGCCACAUCAAAUGCAGAGGAAAGCUGGAUUACUGCCACACACGGGGCUCUGAAGUUGGAAUAAUUCCAUUGAGUUCAAUCCCAUUUUGGCCAUGCUGCUCUGCAGAAAGAGGUACAAGGUACAGGGUAAGCCCAAGAGGAGAGAAGAGAUGCCCCCCAUCUAUGACUUCUUCUCUACGUGAAGUGAAGCUUUUUCAAAGCAUCUGUUGGAGCUGACACAAGGGUUUAUGGACAGGAUGAAGAGGACAGGGGAGUCAAAAGCGCUUCAGUUCACCCACCAGCUCUCUGGCAGUACAGAUCCCCAGACAUGUGCCAUGGUUGUUUUUGCCCAGUCUGCUUGUUCAUAUUAUGGUUGUGUCUUCCCAUAAAUGAUGCCUCUCUUACAAAUUAGUAUAAUCUUAUGUGUCACAGCUCCUGGGAGGUCUAGAGACCAUCCAGUAGCCUUUAUGUAUCUCUGGUUUCUAGGACUUUAAUUUUGAGUUGAUUGUUGCAGUAAGUUAAUGCUUGUCCUGGAUUGCCAAGCAAAUUCUAUUCUAUUUGCCAUCUGUAUGGCAGUUGUCUUCUGUUAAGUGGGAAGUUUUCCUUAUCUCUUCCAUAACCAAUCCUCCCUCGAGGGAGACAUCUGCUGAUAACAGGCUAUGGAAUGUUACUGCACAACUGAUAAGAACUACAGCAUCCCAUUGGGAGAUGCUCUGCCCAGAGGGAGGAGCCAAGCAUUCCUACCUGGAUAUAAUCUUGACAUUCUGGAGCACCAGCAUGGCUUCUUCUCCACUGGAUUUCCCAGAGGAACAGCUGCCUCUUCCGCUGGAUCUUUAGAGGAAGACUACACCUUUCUACAGGAUCUCUGCUCCAACAGAACCACACCUAACACUCCAGGAGGACUGCAGCCACAAUUUCAAUUGGACUGCUACCAGCACCCUGACCAACAGGGUGUCAGGUUGUGUUCUGACUCUGUCAAUGUUGUUUUGGUUUACUACUUUGUUUAUUUUAUCUUUUUAUUUUCUUCCCUA